AAACUAUAUUAAUACUUCCUAAAACAGAAAUGCUGAUGUUAACUCGUUUAAGCCAACUAUUAUUGAAGUGCAUUUUGCACGAACUAAACAGUUUUCAAAAAAAAAAAAAAUAAAUGAAAUCCAGUACUAAAUCGGUGGAUAAACGUGAAAAUCGGUUGACAAAACACCCAAAUAAAUUAAUACGUACCAAGAACUACACGAAAUAACACCUAAUUUUUUAUUUUUUAGGUUUACUAAUGCCAGAAGAUGGAUUGGAAAACUGAAAUCGGUUUUAUAACAAUAUUGUUAUCGUUUUCAGAGAGCAUCAACGUGCUCAGGACAUAUCGUAUAGUAUAUUUAUACUAUCGAUCUAAGUUUUCGAAGGAGGGAACGACGAACAGUUUCAAAUCUUAACAAAACAUGACGUUUAUAAUACUUAUCGAUAUUUGUAACUAUUUACAUUUAAUCAAAUAAAGCCUAUGGGGACUCAUUUUACCUAUAAAAGGAACAAAGAAAAACAAUACGUAUAAUAUAAAUAAAACAUUUUUAAGUUCUCUUAAAAGUAUUUAAUAUAACAUUUUUAACUCAUUUAAUAUCCUAUCUAGAGUUGGAAAACAUACCCGUUAAAAAAUAUGUAC